rnacentral:rRNA from 1 species
UACGAAGGGGGCUAGCGUUGCUCGGAAUCACUGGGCGUAAAGGGUGCGUAGGCGGGUGUUUAAGUCAGGGGUGAAAUCCUGGAGCUCAACUCCAGAACUGCCUUUGAUACCGAAGAUCUUGAGUUCGGGAGAGGUGAGUGGAACUGCGAGUGUAGAGGUGAAAUUCGUAGAUAUUCGCAAGAACACCAGUGGCGAAGGCGGCUCACUGGCCCGAUACUGACGCUGAGGCACGAAAGCGUGGGGAGCGAACAGG